rnacentral:piRNA from 1 species
UCCUCGUAAUACAGGAUAACUCCUAAGGUCU